rnacentral:rRNA from 1 species
UUCGAGGCAUGUGCACGCUCGAGCCCUUAAUCCACUUUACACCUGUGCACUUAAUGUAGGUCGCCCUUAAAAAAGGUGACCUAUGUCUUAUCAUCAACCCAUCGUAUGUCUCAUAGAAUGUAAUCGAUAUCCUCGCCCUAAAAAAGCGUUGAUAAACUUAUACAACUUUCAACAACGGAUCUCUUGGCUCUCGCAUCGAUGAAGAACGCAGCGAAAUGCGAUAAGUAAUGUGAAUUGCAGAUUUUCAGUGAAUCAUCGAAUCUUUGAACGCACCUUGCGCUCCUUGGUAUUCCGAGGAGCAUGCCUGUUUGAGUGUCAUUAAAUUCUCAACUCCAAGGGUUUCACGACCUUUCGGAGAUUGGACUUGGAGGUGCUGGCCGCAUAUUGGUCGGCUCCUCUCAAAUGCAUCAGCGGAAUUCAACCUUUGGCUUCCGGAUGUCAGUGUGAUAAUCAUGUUGCGCUGUCGUUUGAUCCCUCAGAGUCCGCUUAUAUGCUCUUCGGACAAAAUCAUCAUCAAAUUUGACCUCAAUCACGUAGGACUACCCGCUGAACUUAA